rnacentral:tRNA from 2 species
GGUCGCAUAGCUCAAUCGGCUAGAGCGCAGUCCUCACACGACUGAGGUUGCUGGUUCGAGCCCAGCUGUGACCA